UACGUAGGGUGCGAGCGUUAAUCGGAAUUACUGGGCGUAAAGCGUGCGCAGGCGGUUUGUUAAGUCCGUUGUGAAAGCCCCGAGCUCAACUUGGGAAUUGCAGUGGAUACUGGCAGGCUGGAGUACGGUAGAGGAAGGUGGAAUUCCCGGUGUAGCAGUGAAAUGCGUAGAGAUCGGGAGGAACACCAGUGGCGAAGGCGGCCUUCUGGACCAGUACUGACGCUCAUGCACGAAAGCGUGGGGAGCAAACAGG
rnacentral:rRNA from 1 species